ensembl:lncRNA
UGGGGAGGAACUGUAGUGGCUGCAACCGAGGAUUAACAGAAGCAGAUUAACCUCAAAAACCCUGCCUGGCCGGCAGAUUUCAAGUUUAAAAAAAAAAAAAAAAAUGGGGGGAGGAGGUACUUUUUUUUUCUAAACGUCUUUGAGGAAAAUUCUUUUUUUUUUUUUUUUUUUUUUUAAAUACUUUUGGCCGAAGUUUUCAUGAGAUGUCACUCACUUCCUGUCUUCCAUUUUAAACUGGUUACAACUCAAAUGUCAGCUCUGGAUUGGGAGUGGGACAAGCCCCUCCGUUUUUAGUUGAAAAGAAUCAGCUGCUUGCCGGUUGCCUCCUGUGGUGUGGGUGUCUUUUCCAUUCCUGAAUCAUCUCGAGAUCUCAAAGGCCAUGGCCAUAAUAACAUUGGAUCUGAGCCGUGCCGGCAAUCUACACUAAUGCAGCAAUGCUGGAUGCUUAACCCACUGAGUGAGACCAGGAAUCAAACCUGCAUUCUCAGAGAGACAAUCUUUUAGGUCCUUCACCUACUGAGCCACAAUGGGAACUCCCUGAUGAGAACUCUUGUGCUGGACUCAAUCCACAGUGAUGGCUGAGACAAUUGCUAAGGAGAGAGAGGGAACAUUCAUUUCUACAGGCUAGAAGCUCCGUGAAGAUGAGACCAGGCAUGACUUGUCACAGUGCAUUCUCAGCCUCAGAUGCCUGGUAUGUAGUGGGGAAAAAAACAAAUACUGCUGAAUGACUCAGUUUGUUUCUUACUGUUUUAUGACUGUUGACUACUACUCUCGUUUGAUCUCUGAUACAUGUAACCUAGGAAACAUUAAAGGAGAAACUGCAGGUCCAAAUGAUAAGUUUUCUCCUUAAAUAAGCAAGCGGACAGAGAACAUACAAAUGGCAUUUUCGGUUCCAACUAUUCAGAUGGCUGUUAUCAUUUUCCACUUGGCUUUUUAUAUGUAAAUACAGACAGUAUAAGCUCUACGUAUUAGGGAGUCCUACCUGCCAUAACAAAGAGACCCUCUAAUUUCAGGGGCUUAACAGGCAAGAGGUGUAUGUAUCUCUCAUGCAUGUACCAGUCCAAUGUCCUGGUCAGAGGGUGGCUUUAUUCCUUAAGGUGCUGCAGGGGCACAGGCUUCUUUGACCCCGUGACUCUAUCAUCUGCUGGGCCUUGGAGUCCCCUGCUUGCAGCUGGGCAAAGUGGGGAAUGCACACCCAGGUUUUCUUUUUCUUUUUACAGCCACACCUGUGGCAUGUGGAAGUUCCCGGGCCAGGGGUCACAUUGGAGCUGCAGCUGCAGGCCUACACCACAGCCACAGCAACGUUGCAUCACAGCCACCUCUGUGACCUCCCCUGCAGCCUGUGGCAACACUGGAUCCUUAACCCACUGAGUGAAGCCAGGGAUUGAACCCGCAUCUUCAUGGAUACUCUGUUGGGUUCUUAAUGCGCUGAGCUACAAUGGGAACUCCUCUGUGCCAUUUUUAAACACCCUGGUCUAGAAGUAAUAAACGUCACUUUUGCUUAUAUUCCAUUAGAGAUAACCAGUCACGUGGCCAUAUUUGGAUGCAAGGGAGGCUGAGGAAUAUAAUCCCAGCUGAGCACCCUGUCUGUCGGCUCACCUACAGAAGGAGAAAAGCAUGACUAUUUGGUGAGCAGCUAGAAAUCUGCCAUGUGAAGCAUAAGAACCUUCCUGAGUUUCUUUUUCCUGUAAUAUGCCUACCAGACAACAUACUUGUUAGAAAUGUCACAACUUUAGAUAACUUUCCAAAACCUCAUCUAGAAACAUGGAAGGCUAGUGUCAAGCAGAGCAUUCCCUGGCCUGAGCAGGGAUGUCAAGCAGCUUGGAGUAGGGGUCAGAGCAAAGCCUGAUCACAGACCACUUAACCUCUUGGCGACUCAGUGUUCUGAACAGCCAGUCGGGGAUCGUCACACCCAUCUUGUGGUUUUACAAUGAUUAGGGGUAAUACAUGCAAAGGUCCUGGUAGACAGGAGUAGAUAAAUGAUAACGGGCAUUACUGUGUUAUCUGAACAAAGAUUUCUCAAGAAAGCACACUUUCUUUCUUUUAAAUUGCUUUCAAAAUAAAAGGGUAAUAAAGAACAAGCAGUGAGCCUAUGUAAAUGUAAGUUGUAGGACACUCUGGAUGUUAGAACAUCGCUCUCAUAUCCAGAAUGAAGCCAGAGUCUAACUGGGCAGUGUGAUUAAACUGCUCACAAUUGCCUGAAUUCUUGCAGGAGCCACGGAAGACAAAAAAUAAGUAUGAUAUUAAGAGCCUUGGUUUAUUGAGGGUGUAUAUUAUAUCUCUUCAUCUUCAUACCAACCCCCUGGGCCAUCCUGAUACCACCACCCAUACCACCUAUGUUAUUUCCAUCACCAUUUUGCAGACGAGAGAAACAAGGGCUAGAAAGGGAAGAUGCUCAAUUACUAGUAGCGGAACAGGGAUUUGAACCCAGGCGGUCUGAUUCCAGAACUCGAGCUCUUAAUCAAGAAUCCUGGGAUUUUGUUGGAGGAAAUGCUUUAUCUGUGUGAAAACGCUUGAGACAAGGCAUGAUAACAUUGUGCUGAAGUGUGGUUCAAAUUAUAAAUGCUAUAGGAAUUCAGUCUGCAAAGGAACUCCCUGUGCUUGGGCAUGACUGAGUGCCAGGCAUUGUACUGUUUCCAUUCUUUCCAUUUAAGGAGUGGUAGCACGGCCUGUGUGGAAGAAGAGCACGCACUUUGGAAGUGGACAGGUAGGGCUUAAAUCCUGGUGCUGUUAUUUACCACCUGUGUAACCUCAGGCAAAUUUCUUCACCUUUCUGAUAUGGUCUCCUUAACUGAAAAUAGGGUUUGUCAUCAAAAACAAAACAAAACAAAACAAAACAAAACAAAAAAGAGGAUCAGCAUACGACAAGAGCUAUCCAAAUACCUACUAAGUCCUGCAGGCUCUUGGGAGAAACACAAUUAGCCUAAACGGGCUAGGUUUUGCUGCUAUAACAAACAGCCCCUAAAUCUCCUUGUUUUAGCACAAGUUUAAUAUUUGUUCACACUACUUUUUCAAUGAAGGUUAGUGGGGCAGCUCUGCCAUUCUUAUGGAGACACCUCACUGUACCCCAUAGUUGUCAAGAUAAGACUGUCGAGAUUGAACUUUCAGGAUUGUCAAGAAUGGGCACCUGCCCAUUGGCCCUUACCAGUUUCUAGCCAAAAGCAAUGAAUAUCCUUUCUGCUCUCAUUCCAUUGGUCUGUGCAACUCACAUGGCCACAUCUAAUCUUAAGCAGAUGGGGUAGCGGAUUUCUACCACACUCCUGGGGGAAAGAAGGAACCAGAAAAUAUUUAGUGAACAGUUUUAAUUACCACUACAGACACAAUCUGUUUACUUGUGAAACAGACCCACUGAUCUAUACUUUAAGAAGAGGAAAGUGAAGCUCUGAGCAGUUAAGUCUUUUGACCAAGGUCACACAGUCUAUCCACAGGGCAGAUAAACUCUCAACCUGCAUUGUCACUCCCUGUCUUUAAUCUACGUUCACAGUGUCUACAGACUUUGUAUAAAAGCAGAAUCCUUGCAGGAUGGGAGCAGGGAGUCCCUGUGAGUGUGGACAGAAUAAGAACUGAAUAAACAUGGCCUUUGUUUGUAUUAUGCAAUAACUGGUGUGCUCCUGGGGGAGGCAGGAAGGGGCAGAGGGGCUUAAGUCAAGCAUCAGCAAAAGUUUGGACCAAGAAGAGUACAAAGCACGAGAGUGUGGCAAAAGCACAUGAUGAGUGCAGUGUUAACAGGCCAUUACUCUGGCAGCAGGGAGGGGGUUAACACUCAGGACUUGCUGUUGCUGGAGUCCAGGGUAGGGUGAUAAGGGGUAGACAGGAGUGAAGACAGNNNNNNNNNNNNNNNNNNNNNNUGCAAGCCCCACGGUGAAAAAGUAAAGAACCACCAAGCCAUCUGUAGAAUGCACCAGGCAUGCUUCAUACCCCACUCUUCCCAUCCCAGUCUGGUAUACUGCACCAGUUACAGGAAAAAAAAAAAAAAAA